rnacentral:rRNA from 1 species
CCAGGAGUGGAGCCUGCGGCUUAAUUUGACUCAACACGGGGAAACUCACCCGGUCCGGACACUGGAAGGAUUGACAGAUUAAAAGCUCUUUCUUGAUUCAGUGGGUGGUGGUGCAUGGCCGUUCUUAGUUGGUGGAGUGAUUUGUCUGGUUAAUUCCGAUAACGAACGAGACUCUAGCCUGCUAACUAGUUCGCCGGCAGCUCUUGUCGCGCGGCGCCGCUUCGGCGGCAAACUUCUUAGAGGGACAGGUGGCGUUUAGCCACACGAAGUAGAGCAAUAACAGGUCUGUGAUGCCCUUAGAUGUCCGGGGCCGCACGCGCGCUACACUGAAAGAAUCAACGUGGAUGCCCACCUGCUCCGAGAGGAGUGGGAAACCCGAUGAAUCUCUUUCGUGAUGGGGAUUGGGGCUUGUAAUUGUUCCCCAUGAACGAGGAAUUCCCAGUAAGCGUCAGUCAUCAGCUGGCGCUGAUUACGUCCCUGCCCUUUGUACACACCGCCCGUCGCUACUACCGAUUGAAUGGUUUAGUGAGACCCUCGGACUGGAGUCCGUCCGCCGCUUUCGGGUGGUGGAUGGGGACGGAAAGACGGUCGAACUUGAUCAUUUAGAGGAAGUAA